UUGUUUGAAUAAUCUGCUGUUUGUAUUUGGCUAAAUGGUCAUUUAACCCCUUCAAUUUCUGCUUCACCAUCUUCAGCUUACUCCAGAUCUGUUGCAUAUGUGAUCCUUGAUACUCCUUCUCCCAGACUUGUUUAACAAUAUCAUGAAAUUGAUCAUGUUCCAUAACAUUGUUAUAUAGUCUGAAUGGUUUAGGUUGCAGAGGUUUGUAAACACCAAAUUUAACUAAAAUAGGAGAGUGAUCUGACACCAAUGGAUUCAUAUAGUCUGCUUCCAAAUGCCCAAACUGUUGUAACCAUUGAUAGUUGCCCAGUGCCCAGUCUAUCUUGCUAUAUACUCUAGCAUCAGCAUCUUGUUUAUUUGUCCAAGUAUAGUGCCAGCCAGUUGCUCUUAAGACAGUCAGUUGUAGCUCAUCCACAGUAUCUUUGAAAUCC
rnacentral:lncRNA from 1 species